AGGAGGGAAGAGAUUGAUAAUCAGAGAAAUCCACACCGGUAUUAAUUACAUGCCAUUACCAGGGCUUAUUUGCUAAUCCCCUUUCUAAUCACCCUCCCGGUCAUAUUUCAAGCAGCACUUCAGGACACUGCGCGUCAUGAAUAAAAUAUAUAUCAAAGUUUAUUCCAGAGCACAGGCAGCACGGUGCGGGCAGCGCAGCCAGGGUUACACAACAGACCUGCUGUCACACCAGCGGAGGCGCGGCACAUUCGGACGUCAGUGAAAUCCCCCCCCACCCCAGCCCAAAUCCGGGGUUUUGGCUUUUUAAAAUUUAAAUAAAUAAUAAAUAGCGAGGGGUCAGUGAAAUCCCCCCCCCCCAACCCCAGCCCAAAACCGGUUUUUUUGUUUGUUUGUUUUUGAAAUGUAAAUAAAUAAAUAGCAGAGGGACUUAGGGUUUCCGGGGGAUUCAUGCAGCUUCUGGGGAGCGCCGCUGCGGAAGCCUGGCACGGCGGAGCGGGACGAGGGACGGUCACCCUGGGCACGGAGGAGGAGGAGCGGGACCGCGGGCCGUGCCAGCUGAAGCUCUGCGAUUCCCGGCGGGACCGGCUGAUUCCAUCCGAGCACCGUCCUGAGGCCGGGACAGCGGCGGGGACAGCGGCACCAGGCCCUGCAAGGCUUCCAGUCCGGAGGGGAUCCUUCAUCCCGGAGGGGAUCCUUCAUCCCGGAGGGGAUCCUUCAUCCCGGAGGGACAUCCUUCAUCCCGGAGGGGAUCCUUCAUCCCGGAGAGGAUCCUUCAUCCCGGAGGGGAUCCUUCAUCCCGGAGGGGAUCCUUCAUCCCGGAGGACAUCCUUCAUCCCGGAGGGGAUCCUUCAUCCCGGAGAGGAUCCUUCAUCCCGGAGGGGAUCCUUCAUCCCGGAGAGGAUCCUUCAUCCCGAGCCCAUCUCCGCCGCCUCGCACCUUCCUGCCAGCCCGCAGCGACCGGCCCUGCCACCAGGUGACAUUGGGUGUCCCCAAGGACGCCGGCUGGAAGCACCGGGAGCCUUCCAUGUCCCCGCCCGGUUUGGUCAGUCCGGAGCAGUCCCGAGCUCCGCUCGCCGCGAGUGUCCGGUGCCAGCGGACCCCGAGCCCGGUCCCUUCCCGAGCCGCUGCCCGGGGCUGCUGCCCGCCGUGCCCCGAGCCCGCUCCGCUCUCCGCCGAGGCUUGCAGGGGGCACGGCGGGGCUGCCCCGUGUGGGUCACCGUCCCGGCGGCGUCCCAAGGGCGGGGGUCCCCUCCGGGGGGAAGGGGCCCUGCCCCGGAACCUGCUGCCUUCAGGGCGGAGCGACCCCAGACCGGGCUGGGGGUGCUGGCAGCAGAUUCCUCCAUGAACACCCCCAAACCUGGCAAGAUCCUCCAGGGAUCCCAGGCUCGGAAGGGUCUCCCAGCACCAGGCAGGUUCCCAGAGCCCGCUGGGUCCCCCAGCCUCGUUGUGUCCCCCCAGUCUGUCAUUCACUGCACACCCCGGACCCUGACCCUGCAGGGUCCUUCGAGCACCACAACCCUCAGGGUGCUCUCCCACCAAAUCCCUCAGGGCACCCCAAGGUCCCCAGACCCUGCUGGGGCCCCUGGGCUGCCCUAAUACCACAAGGUCCCGUAUGGAACCCCAAAUACCCCAAAGUCUCCCCACAUCAGACCCCUCGGGCCACUGCUGGGAUCCCCAGACCCUGCUGGGUACCCCCACCCCAUAGAGUCCCCAGGACCCUGCAGGAUAUCCCUGGCAUCCUCAAGGAUGCUUAAGACCUUCCAGCCCAGAGGGUCCCAUCUCUGGGACCCCCAAAUCCAUUGGGUGCCAGCCCAUUGGAUUCCCCAGACCCUGCUGGAUCUCACCACUCCUGGAAGGGUCCCCUGGACCCUUCACAGAAUUCAACUGUAACCCUCAAACCCAGCAGUUCCAAACCCACCAGACUCCUCUAAAGGACCCCAGACCCCAUUGGCUUACCCCACACCAGGCGGUCCCCCAGAUCCUGCAGGGUCCCCGAGGCCCCUCACACCCACCAAGGUGCCCCCGACCCCAGGACUCCAAACCCACCAGGUCCCAUCCCACCAGAGUCCCCAGGACUCCCUGAACGACCCCAGGCCCUACGGGACCCCACCCCCCCAGCACUGGGUCCCACAGUUCCCUCAGUGAGCCCAACGAGGUGUCCCUCCACUUUCAGAGCCCCCAAACCCCCUGGCUCCCCACGGACCAAACCCCCUCAAGUACCCCAGACCCCUCCAGCUCCCCAAACCUCCCGUGUCCCCACCAUUUACCCUUCCCAAAACCCUCUGAAGGACCGGGUCCCCCCCACCACGGUGUCCCCCAGAUCCUGCAGGGUCCCCCAGACCCACCAAGACUUUCAGAAGCCCCCGGCUCCCCACCCCCCGACC
ensembl:lncRNA